AGGCGCCUACGGGACGCAGCAGUGGGGGAUAUUGCACAAUGGGGGAAACCCUGAUGCAGCGACGCCGCGUGAGUGAAGAAGUAUUUCGGUAUGUAAAGCUCUAUCAGCAGGGAAGAAAAUGACAGUACCUGACCAGGAAGCCCCGGCUAACUACGUGCCAGCAGCCGCGGUAAUACGUAGGGGGCAAGCGUUAUCCGGAUUUAUUGGGCGUAAAGCGAGUGCAGGCGGUUCAAUAAGUCUGAU
rnacentral:rRNA from 1 species